CGAGAAUGUGGUCUAAGUUCAUUAACUUGGUGAAGUUUUAAGGGGAUUGCUUUCGGUGGCUUAUAGAUCAAUAUGCCAAAAUAUAAUAAUAAUUAUAGUCAUAGUUUUAUUGUAGAUCAGAAAAGUUCUGCUUCUUGUAUUUUGAAGGAGAUAUGUGGUUUUGUCUGAGCAAUUUGGUUUUAAUUUUCACUUAGGUGCCUAUGAUGCGUUGCAGAAGAAGUACCUGAAGACGCUUAUGUUCUGUAUUUGUGAGGAGACGUCAGGUCCGAUGAUCGACCAGUAUACUCGAGCUCUGCUGGCAAGAUGAUUCUGAUGAGACCUUUGGAUCAAACGCCUGAGGAGGGUAAGCGUGAUGGCGGUUACUCGUUUGUUUUACUUCAAAAUAAAAAGCUGAAGUGGCUGGUUUCUAUGUUUCGGCGCACCAUUUUGAUGAAGCUCCUUUACCAUGAUGAUGUCACGGUUACAUCAUCCAAGAUGCAAUAUUGAGGCUUCAUGAGGACACUACUUCCACGUGAAGCGGCAAUUCUUGUUUCAGAGAGGUGGCACGGACUCCAGUGGCACAUAUGGGACUACUCGAAGACGAGGAAAAGAUAUAGAAAUCAUCUUGCAAUUUCGGGAUCCUAUGUCCGGCUGCGGAUCCGUCCGUCGCUUCUAACUCGAGCAGUCACAUCUGUAAGCUGCAUUGCAGCUUUUGUUUGAUGCUUCGCCAUGGUCGGUAGUCCAAGCAAGAUAUGCAAGAUCUACAUAAAUGAACCUGCGUGUGAAUUACCUUGAAGCACAACACUACAAUAAUUGUUGGGAAGGUCCACAACUAUUCAAUGACCAUUCACGUAACUCACUGCAUGGGUUGAACUGCUGAAUGCGCAGGUAUCAAAACUCCCUUGCUUUUCUUAAUUUAAAAUUUCUUCAGGAAGUACACCUUCAUUAUUCCAUGGCUUAAGACAAACAUCAGAGGACCACAAGAACUUUCACUAAUCUUGUUCCUUCAUCAUUAGAGAUCGUGUAAUGUACUCUGGACCCUGUAAGUACAUUUCAACCCUACCAAAUCAUUGAUCUUUCUCUUUUUAUAAUCCGAUUGCCUUCAGUGUCGUGCGAAGUUUCCACUCUUAUGUCUGGGACUGACAAUCCACCCUAUCAUGAUCAGCGCAGGAUUUGUUUAGUAAAAGCUGGAUGCCCGUGGGUUUUGCUGUCUAUUACCAUCAUCAGAGGUGCAACUAAACUAGUCUAACACACAUCUGGGUGUUGGACCACAGUUUGAGGGUUUAUAUUCAUUGUUUAUCACUUGCCAAAUCUUUGUUUUUUAGAUGAACCAAGACAUUUUACAGUGGUCCAGUUGCUACGACUUGUAGUUUGGAAUACUCCAGGCAAAGAUUCUAGAUGUGCUUUUUCUCUCCUACUUCAUCCUGUCUCGAGUUUAGUUUCAACUGUGUCUGGGGUCUCAGGGUCCACAAGAUAGAAUGAGCUCCAAAUCAGCUGGGAAGAAUGAAGGUUUGUGUAUUUGGAACUUAC